UACGGAGGGUGCAAACGUUGCUCGGAAUUAUUGGGCGUAAAGCGCACGUAGGCGGCACUGUAAGUUGAAUGUGAAAACCCCGGGCUCAACCUGGGAAGUGCAUCCAAGACUGCAAUGCUUGAGUUCCGGAGGGGGUUGGAGAAUUCCCGGUGUAGAGGUGAAAUUCGUAGAUAUCGGGAGGAACAUCAGUGGCGAAGGCGCCAACCUGGACGGUAACUGACGCUGAGGUGCGAAAGCAUGGGGAGCAAACAGG
rnacentral:rRNA from 1 species